GUUUGAUCCUGGCUCAGAUUGAACGCUUUUGGCAUGCCUUACACAUGCAAGUCGAACGGCAGCACGGGAGCUUGCUCCUGGUGGCGAGUGGCGAACGGGUGAGUAAUAUAUCGGAACGUACCCUAGAGUGGGGGAUAACGCAGCGAAAGUUGCGCUAAUACCGCAUACGAUCUACGGAUGAGAGUGGGGGAUCGCAAGACCUCAUGCUCAUGGAGCGGCCGAUAUCUGAUUAGCUAGUUGGUGGGGUAAAGGCCUACCAAGGCAUCGAUCAGUAGCUGGUCUGAGAGGACGACCAGCCACACUGGAACUGAGACACGGUCCAGACUCCUACGGGAGGCAGCAGUGGGGAAUUUUGGACAAUGGGGGCAACCCUGAUCCAGCAAUGCCGCGUGAGUGAAGAAGGCCUUCGGGUUGUAAAGCUCUUUUGUCAGGGAAGAAACGGUGAGGGCUAAUAUCCUUUGCUAAUGACGGUACCUGAAGAAUAAGCACCGGCUAACUACGUGCCAGCAGCCGCGGUAAUACGUAGGGUGCAAGCGUUAAUCGGAAUUACUGGGCGUAAAGCGUGCGCAGGCGGUUAUGUAAGUCAGAUGUGAAAUCCCCGGGCUCAACCUGGGAAUGGCAUUUGAGACUGCAUGGCUAGAGUGUGUCAGAGGGGGGUAGAAUUCCACGUGUAGCAGUGAAAUGCGUAGAGAUGUGGAGGAAUACCAAUGGCGAAGGCAGCCCCCUGGGAUAAUAUUGACGCUCAUGCACGAAAGCGUGGGGAGCAAACAGGAUUAGAUACCCUGGUAGUCCACGCCCUA
rnacentral:rRNA from 1 species